GUCAAAAUGAGUAUUUUAUAAUGAUUCUAUCUUUGUGAAAUAAUCAUUAUUCAGGGGUGGUUGACAGUUCAGCUGUAGAAUUAGCUAAACUAAAAUUUAAUAGAAAGAAUAGAAAACGUACCUUUUCAACAACAUUCAAAACCUGAGAAGUUCCAGGAUCCAAUGUGGAUUCUGAGUGCAUGGUACCAGCGCCGCCCGCCAGCCCAGCAUGUCAGUUAGCCGCAAGGCUAAUACGUCCCUGCACAGGACACAUAGUUCCAAAAGGAACUAACAUACACAUCUUUAUUUUUUUCUCAGGACUUGGCCAUAGGCUUAUUACAUG